AAAAAGGGUGCUCGCUACUUGCAUAGCGCGUCAGUUCAUUUUGGACUGGCGGGGUAUGGCUAUCAAGACAUACCCAGUACGUAAUUUUUGGAUUUGAGAGGCUGUUAGCUGCCAUUUGCACUGACGCCUCC